CUCCUACAUGUUGGAUUUAACUGAAAAUCUAGCAGAGUGGGUGUGUUAAACUUUAGAAUUUGUCCAAGCAGACAUUCCAAAAUCUAGGCUGUUUAAAAAACAUACUUAGAAUAAUUUUCGAGAGAUAAUUCACUUGCAGGUAUCAUAUGAAAUUGUCCCAUUAAUCAGAUUUGUCACUCUCAUAUUAAUAUAAAGAAUGAACCAGGAAUUAGCCCUUUAUAAGGUACUUUUAAAUGUACUUUAAAAAGUAACUAAUUUUUUUUUUUUUGUCCUUUCUGGGCCACACCCGUGGCAUAUGGAGGUCCCAGGCUAGGGGUCUAAUUGGCGCUGUAGUCGCUGGCCUAUGCCACAGCUCACAGCAACGCGGUGAUCCUUAACCCACAGAGCGAGGCCAGGGAUCGAACCUGCAUUCUCAUGGAUAUUAGAUUCCUUUCGACUGAGCCACAACAGGAACUCCCUGGAGCGUAUUUUAAAUGCUUCCCGAAUUUCUAAUUGCUGUGUGUGUAGACAUCACCUCACAACAUAUGAGUUAUUCACAUUGUAAGUUCUACUUUAGAUGCUGUGUACAGUACAUAUAUAGAUGGCCCACAGCAGUUGGAGCCGUGCAUGUAUCCAUUUGCUGUGAGAAAGUCAGGUGGGUCCAAUGAAUGCCCUGGCUUGAUAACCCCAAACCCUCCAUUCUACCCUCUUCUAGGCGGUUUUCUGUGACACAGAACGAGCAAGGAAGGGGUAGGGUGGGUAAGUGGCUCCUGAAGCUAACCGCCCCCCUCCCCGCUUCCUACCCAUCCCAGUAGGGCCAGGAGGGACGUCCUCAUCUCCGGCUUAUCAGUCAGCUAGCUCCUUGUGCAUCUGCUCUUACUGCUGGCUCAUGUCCUGGUUCCUCUCGAGCAGUGCCUUGCCCGAUGGGGCCAACACCAAAUUCUUCUCCUGCAGUUCGGCACCCUCGGCCGGAGUUCCGGGCUCCGCCUUAGUAUGCUCCCCAGGGUCGGACCGCCAUUCCCUGGUCGUCAGCAGCGCCCCGCUCCUCCUAUGCCAGUUCCAGCUCCCCGGCCCCCGGGGGAAGGAGACGAGGGCGGCCGCGGUUGGCAACUCUAAGUAGCAAACGCUGUCCCCCUCCGCGGGUGCUGAAGCACGGCGGGCUAAGCCCAGGAAGAAAGCGGACAAGACCCACGCGGGCGGAGCCUGCAGGGGGGCAACCCCUUCCGCCGCGCCAGGCUGCAGGUAGGAGAAGCCCCACCAUCCAGCGCCUCGCUUCACUCCGCGGCCCACGUCCCUCUGGGCUGCGUGAACCCAGGGCUCGGCGCGCGCUGGUCCGCCCCUCUCCCCUCCCCCGGGAGCAGCUGCUCAGCUGGCGCUGAAGAGGAGAGGAUGGCAAAAGACGGGCUGAGCAAGACUGAGAGGACGCGAAACAGGAGGGGAGGUCACGUGGAGGGACGGCGCCGCUACGGGCCCGGCAGCGCCUCAUCAGGCGGGCUGAGCUCAGCGGCGGCGGCUGCGACGCUCGCUGCUGCGACCACUCUCUGCAGCCGCGCCCCACGACCGGCGGCUCAGCAGCAGUCUCAACAGCAGCGGCGUCGAGUGCCGCUGCUCCACACCUCGCGCCGCGCAGCCUGGCGAACUCCUUCCUGCCUUCCUCAACUCCUCGCUUUCACCCCGCAGGCCGCGCCCCCUUUCCCCGUCCCUAGCCGGCUCCUGACGCGCGCAGGCACCUGUUAGCCUCGCCCGUUCGCGAUUCGCGGAUUCAUGGGUCUCCUCAGUGGCGCUCAGGUGGCUUCGGCAGCCUUAAUCUCUGCGUUGCCUCCUGCCCUGGGCGGCUGCGCGCGCCGCCUGUGGAGAGGACUGGCCAUUCCUAAGCGUCCCGGCGGCCGGGCCGCGGCCACGACCUUGGCCUUGUUUCCACCACGGGUUGUUGCCCGCCCCCAGCUGCUCACCUCCGCGUGUGGCUCC
rnacentral:lncRNA from 1 species